rnacentral:lncRNA from 1 species
CGCAUUUCCUGACCGGACAGUCGGUGAACUAUUUGGCUCAAACUCUCGAACUCCUGGAAAGCGGUAUCGGCCAGCUGGGCGUCGGUCAAAACCAGACAGUAGCACUUGUUCCUGACUUCUCUGAAUCUCUGUAUGUAGCUGGCCACUGACUUGUCGCUUCUCUAUUUGAGUCCAGUUAAAUCUGAAAGCUUCACCUCGUGGACCUGCAAAGAAGUACUUGUGGAAUUGUUUUUCCAAAUCGGCCCAAGUGAUGAUGGAGUUAGGCGGCAGCGUCGUAAACCAUUGAAAGGCCGACCCGGAUAGGGAUGAUGAGAACAAACGUACCCUCAAAGCAUCUUGUGCAGCAGCUUCUCGCACUGGAUGAUGAAUCUGUUGACGUGCUCCACCGUAGACGUGUC